UGGGGAAUAUUGCACAAUGGAGGGAACUCUGAUGCAGCGACGCCGCGUGAACGAAGAAGGCUUUCGAGUCGUAAAGUUCUUUUAUAUGGGAAGAUAAUGACGGUACCAUAAGGAAAAGCCCCGGCUAACUACGUGCCAGCAGCCGCGGUAAUACGUAGGGGGCUAGCGUUGUCCGGAAUCACUGGGCGUAAAGGGUUCGCAGGCGGAAAUGCAAGUCAGGUGUAAAAGGCAGUAGCUUAACUACUGUAAGCAUUUGAAACUGCAUAUCUUGAGAAGAGUAGAGGUAAGUGUAAUUUUUAGUGUAGCGUGGAAAUGCGUAGAUAUUAAAAAGAAUACCGGUGGCGAAGGCGACGUACUGGGCUGAUUCUGACGCUGAGGAACGAAAGGGUGGGUAGCAAACAGG
rnacentral:rRNA from 1 species